rnacentral:rRNA from 1 species
UACGAAGGGGGCUAGCGUUGCUCGGAUUGACUGGGCGUAAAGGGCGCGUAGGCGGUUCGUACAGUCAGACGUGAAAUUCCUGGGCUCAACCUGGGGGCUGCGUUUGAUACGUGCGGACUUGAGUGCGGAAGAGGGUCGUGGAAUUCCCAGUGUAGAGGUGAAAUUCGUAGAUAUUGGGAAGAACACCGGUGGCGAAGGCGGCGACCUGGUCCGAUACUGACGCUGAGGCGCGAAAGCGUGGGGGAGCAAACGGG